GAUGAACGCUGGCGGCGUGCUUAACACAUGCAAGUCGAACGGGAAUUACUUUAUUGAAACUUCGGUCGAUUUAAUUUAAUUCUAGUGGCGGACGGGUGAGUAACGCGUGGGUAACCUGCCUUAUACAGGGGGAUAACAGUCAGAAAUGGCUGCUAAUACCGCAUAAGCGCACAGAGCUGCAUGGCUCGGUGUGAAAAACUCCGGUGGUAUAAGAUGGACCCGCGUUGGAUUAGCUUGUUGGUGGGGUAACGGCCCACCAAGGCGACGAUCCAUAGCCGGCCUGAGAGGGUGAACGGCCACAUUGGGACUGAGACACGGCCCAGACUCCUACGGGAGGCAGCAGUGGGGAAUAUUGCACAAUGGGGGAAACCCUGAUGCAGCGACGCCGCGUGAAGGAAGAAGUAUCUCGGUAUGUAAACUUCUAUCAGCAGGGAAGAUAGUGACG
rnacentral:rRNA from 1 species